UGGGGAAUUUUGGACAAUGGGCGCAAGCCUGAUCCAGCCAUGCCGCGUGCGGGAAGAAGGCCUUCGGGUUGUAAACCGCUUUUGUCAGGGAAGAAACGGUCUGGGCUAAUACCCCGGACUAAUGACGGUACCUGAAGAAUAAGCACCGGCUAACUACGUGCCAGCAGCCGCGGUAAUACGUAGGGUGCAAGCGUUAAUCGGAAUUACUGGGCGUAAAGCGUGCGCAGGCGGUGAUGUAAGACAGGUGUGAAAUCCCCGGGCUUAACCUGGGAAUUGCAUUUGUGACUGCAUCGCUGGAGUGCGGCAGAGGGGGAUGGAAUUCCGCGUGUAGCAGUGAAAUGCGUAGAUAUGCGGAGGAACACCGAUGGCGAAGGCAAUCCCCUGGACCUGUACUGACGCUCAUGCACGAAAGCGUGGGGAGCAAACA
rnacentral:rRNA from 1 species